rnacentral:rRNA from 1 species
GUGAUAAGGGAACUCCGAGUGUCUGUAAAUUCGGACUGUCCGUAUGUUUAAAAAGCAUACGAAGAAAGGGCCGGGCAAGACCGGUGCCAGCCGCCGCGGUAAUACCGGCGGCUCGAGUGGUGGCCACUAUUACUGGGCUUAAAGCGUUCGUAGCUUGGUUGUUAAGUCUCUUGGGAAAUCUAUCGGCUUAACCGAUAGGCGUCCAGGGGAUACUGGCAAUCUAGGGACCGGGAGAGGUGAGGGGUACUUCAGGGGUAGGAGUGAAAUCCUGUAAUCCUUGGGGGACCACCUGUGGCGAAGGCGCCUCACCAGAACGGCUCCGACAGUGAGGGACGAAAGCUGGGGGAGCAAACCGGAUUAGAUACCCGGGUAGUCCCAGCCGUAAACGAUGCACGUUAGGUGUAUCGAUGACCACGAGUCAUCGAGGUGCCGAAGGGAAACCGUGAAACGUGCCGCCUGGGAAGUACGGUCGCAAGGCUGAAACUUAAAGGAAUUGGCGGGGGAGCACCACAACAGGUGGAGCCUGCGGUUUAAUCGGACUCAACGCCGGAAAUCUCACCGGAUAAGACAGCUGAAUGAUAGUCGGGCUGAAGACUCUACUUGACUAGCUGAGAGGUGGUGCAUGGCCAAGGGCGAAUUCGUUUAAACCUGCA